UUCCGGUUGAUCCCGCCGGAGGCCACUGCUAUGGGGGUCCGACUAAGCCAUGCGAGUCAUGGGGCGCGCUCUGCGCGCACCGGCGGACGGCUCAGUAACACGUCGGUAACCUACCCUCGGGAGGGGGAUAACCCCGGGAAACUGGGGCUAAUCCCCCAUAGGCCUGGGGUACUGGAAGGUCCCCAGGCCGAAAGGGCGUAAGCCGCCCGAGGAUGGGCCGGCGGCCGAUUAGGUAGUUGGUGGGGUAACGGCCCACCAAGCCGAAGAUCGGUACGGGCCAUGAGAGUGGGAGCCCGGAGAUGGACACUGAGACACGGGUCCAGGCCCUACGGGGCGCAGCAGGCGCGAAACCUCCGCAAUGCGGGAAACCGCGACGGGGGGACCCCCAGUGCCGUGGCAACGCCACGGCUUUUCCGGAGUGUAAAAAGCUCCGGGAAUAAGGGCUGGGCAAGGCCGGUGGCAGCCGCCGCGGUAAUACCGGCGGCCCAAGUGGUGGCCGCUAUUAUUGGGCCUAAAGCGUCCGUAGCCGGGCCCGUAAGUCCCUGGCGAAAUCCCACGGCUCAACCGUGGGGCUUGCUGGGGAUACUGCGGGCCUUGGGACCGGGAGAGGCCGGGGGUACCCCUGGGGUAGGGGUGAAAUCCUGUAAUCCCAGGGGGACCGCCAGUGGCGAAGGCGCCCGGCUGGAACGGGUCCGACGGUGAGGGACGAAGGCCAGGGGAGCGAACCGGAUUAGAUACCCGGGUAGUCCUGGCUGUAAAGGAUGCGGGCUAGGUGUCGGGCGAGCUUCGAGCUCGCCCGGUGCCGAAGGGAAGCCGUUAAGCCCGCCGCCUGGGGAGUACGGCCGCAAGGCUGAAACUUAAAGGAAUUGGCGGGGGAGCACUACAAGGGGUGGAGCGUGCGGUUUAAUUGGAAUCAACGCCGGAAAGGGCGAAUUCCACAUUGGGCUGCAG
rnacentral:rRNA from 1 species